rnacentral:lncRNA from 1 species
GCCAAUUCAAAACCCUAGCAGUGGGACUAUAAAAGGAGCGGAUACUGUUCACAGAAAAGAGAAAAAAAGAUUAGCGGCUACCAUCCAAAAAAAAGAGAGAAUUCAAGGGCACUGCUUCAACACAAAAAAAACCUUCAUCUUUCCCUCACGAAAUUGGCACCGUAACCUUUCUUCUUCCAACUACAAUGCACACAGUGCAGAGAAUUCGUUUGCCAGCCAUUUGGCUCAUAAAGAACACCGCCAACGUAGAACGACGGUCGGUCGUGAAGCACCUCAACGUCAUUGUCUUUAAGCUCGACGUCUCUCCGCCACAAACAACAUCAACUCAGCAAGGACGAACAGAGUUAACACGGUCUCGAUCCGAGCGGCGUAAUAACUUUCGAAAUAAGAGGUACGAUCUUGAUUCAGAUCCGUUUUGGAUCUGUCUACACCUGUUUUAUUUACCAUUUCCUUUCCUAUGGACUUUGAUGGACUGUUGUGUCUUCGCCGUUGAUUUUGUCACCAUGAUGCGCGUGUGUGUUAUUUUUUGCUGUAGAUUUUAUUGCGUUGCCAAAUCGAUAGUGUGAAUUGUGUUUCACUCUCGAUUAAGUUUCAAUGCAUAAAUUAUAUUAACUAUAGUUUUGUUUGGACAAUGCAUCAAUAGAAUGGUGUAGUAGACGCAUUUGAG